rnacentral:rRNA from 1 species
AGGGAAUCUUCCGCAAUGGACGCAAGUCUGACGGAGCAACGCCGCGUGAGUGAUGAAGGUCUUCGGAUCGUAAAACUCUGUUGUUAGUGAAGAACAAGUACCGUUCAAAUAGGUCGGUACCUUGACGGUAACUAACGAGAAAGCCACGGCUAACUACGUGCCAGCAGCCGCGGUAAUACGUAGGUGGCAAGCGUUGUCCGGAAUUAUUGGGCGUAAAGGGCGCGCAGGCGGCCGAUUAAGUCUGAUGUGAAAUCCCACGGCUUAACCGUGGAAGGUCAUUGGAAACUGAUUGGCUUGAGUGCAGAAGAGGAGAGUGGAAUUCCACGUGUAGCGGUGAAAUGCGUAGAUAUGUGGAGGAACACCAGUGGCGAAGGCGGCUCUCUGGUCUGCAACUGACGCUGAGGCGCGAAAGCGUGGAUAGCAAAC